rnacentral:lncRNA from 12 species
AGCACUUCCCCAAAAUGGACCGAACUGUGUCCUCCCCUAACGCCCAUGUGCCUACAUGUGGAGAUAAGCCUUCUGCGAGAUAACUAAGGGUACACGAGGUCCUGGACAGAGGGCCCUAGUUCCACAGGACCGGUGUUCUUGCAAGAAGACGUACCAGAGAGCUUGUGCUUUCUGUGUGCACACAGAGAGAAGGCCACGGGAGGACACAGCGAGAAGGGGGCCGUGGACAAGCCAAGAAGAGAGGCCUCAGGAGAAACCCACUCUAGUGGCACUUUGAUCUGGGACUUCCGGCUCCAGAACUGUGAGGAAAUGAACGCAUGUUGUUUGAGCCACCCACCGUGAGGUGCUUUGUCACGGCAGCCCGAGCAGACCCAUACACUCCCUGAGAGAAACAAAGAGGAGGGGAAUGGGGGAGAGACAACACUUCAAGCCAUCAUGCCUUUGCUGGUGGUGACACAGAGGGAACCUUUGUCCUGUGUCCCAUGUCCUGUGAGGGCACCCUUGGCAGUGCAGUCCCACGCGGGGACCCCGUGCAGACAGCAUGACAGGGGAUGUUGGCCCAUUCUCACAUGUCUCCCCUGAAACCGCCCUUGGGGUUAAGCGUUGCCCUUUGGUCAGCCGCAAACUCCCAGAGGGCCGCCACCCUCCCUGUGUGUUUACUGGCAGGACAGCAGGAGUUAGGGGUAGCGACCAGGACCCUCUGGCCAGGACACACAGGAGACAGCGUUGGUGACAACUGCCUGACUUCCCCUGCGUGCUUCCGGGGAACCCGGCAGCAUCUGCUCAGCUCGGAACAAGCCCACCCACCUCCCUUCUCGUGGCCUGGCUGUGUUGGCAAUUCCUGCAGCUCUGCAGCUGCCAACAUCUGUAGGCCUUCCGUCUGGGCCACCUUUGUGCUUUGGAUCCUGCGUCGCCGGAUUAGAGGCAUUCAUGGCUCGCAGAAGAAGGAGGUCCAAAGGCAGACGUGGUGAUAGAUUGCGAUCAGCGGCCCCGAGGAGAGCCUGUUGCUUUAUUCUUCUGGAAGGCUUUCACGAGGCGGCCGAGGCGCAGUGACUCAGACGCUCCGGAAUCGGGAACAGCCUGGGCCAUGGGUCUGGGUGGUGAUGUGGGCCCCUGGCGCCAGGCCAGCUGGGAGGGCGGGAGGCCGGGAGGCUGGAGGUUUGCAGGCUCAUAAAAAGAAAGCGCUUGUUCCUCGGCCAGUCCAGAAUGCUCCAGGUUCCGUGAGUGGGGGCGGGGGGCGCUGCCGGGGCUGGCACGUUCACCCGCAGGACCUUGUCAUCCUGCAGAUGGGGAGGCCAGGCAAAGAUCUGCUGCUUCUUCAGGGCAGGUGGCAGGUGUGGCGGGGAGGGACAUCGAGGCUGACCCACUUGCACGUGACCCAGUGCCAGGUGAGGAAACUAGAGGCCGGGACACAGAAUUGACUUAGCCCCAGACCCACCCACCACCCCCCGCCACUCCGGCCGCUAUUACCUACCCACUGCUUCCCCCCCACUAGUGAGGCCUCUGAGAAACUCGGAAACAGAAAGCAAGCAUGACCCACACCUUCCAGGUUAGAGCCUGCGCCCCCCCCAGCCUUGAGUGUGCAUGUUUUUCACCCAGGCCCCGGGUGGGGCGGGGGGCGGGGGUUGGUGGUGGUGGGAGCCUCUGCCUUGCCCGGUUGGAUUUUUCUGCAUCUCCCCUCCUGGCUUGAAAUGGCUCGGCAUCCCACAGGGAUUCUCAAACUAUCCGCGGAUGGAUGUAGGACCAGUCGCGUUUGUGUUUGUUUGUUAAUUAAUUUCAAUCCGUCAUGGAUGGAUACUUUUGCCCAGUACAGUAAGCAUGAUUGGCUAGAAAAAUGAAAUAUGAAACACAAGCUACAAAACACAAGCCCAAACUUUUAUCAUUGGAUUCUCUAGGCAGACACAAACAUACUCUGCUGGCUCCUGAUUUCUGGACUUAGCUCACCGUGGACGGGUGCCAGCAUGUGGACUGGCGCUGGCCUGGGGAGCACACUUUGAGUCACGGCAGGGAAAAAUCAAGGUCAAAGCCCGCGGGUCCUAAUACCACUUCUGACAAUUGGUGAAUUGGCUGCGCGGCUUCCCACUUGGAGCCACCACCUUCACGUGCCCACAGUAGACUCACCAAAGCAACUCACGCCGUGGUCUGCUGAGCGAAGGAAGAUGCUCGUCCUUUUCUUUGCCUCUUGCAGACACCUUCUUUCUCAGCAGAGCAAGAAGGUGGGCCGGUGAGAUCUGCGUCCUACAGAGUAGAUGGAGGGCAGCACAGUCGUGUAACUGGCCCCUUUAGGCAAAUGCCCAGGUGCUCUUAGAUGUCCACCCCCCUGCAUUGCUCUCCUACAUGAUGGUGUCGGGGCGCGUGGGGGAGGAGAACCGAGCUGAGGCCACCACCUCUCAGGCUUUAUCGUGCACACAAAUCCCCUGGGGAGGGUGUUCCAGCUGACUCGGCACAGCUGCGGUGGGGCCUGAGACUCUGCAUUCCUACCAAGCUUCCAGGUAAUGCAGGAAAUGCUGGUCCUGAAACUGCACUUCUGAGUAACUUCUGAAGGAUGAAGGGCUCACGGGGCCUCAUGCAGAGAGAGGAGCCAGGUCCUAGGGUAUCCCUGCACAGGACACCCACCCCGACCCUGCCAGAAGCUUCCAGGUCUCUGCAGUGGACUGUCUGGUCUUGGCUGCCCCUGAAAGGGUGAUUGUUGAGAUGCAGAGGCCUCCUCCCCACCUCCCUGACUUGAGUGUGAGCCCAGUGGAACUCCCUGUCUGACCAUCUGGGUGCAGUGAGAGACCUGUCCCCCUAGCCAGCUCUGCCUCCCCUCCCCUCUGGUGCCGUGGAACCCUUGAAGACUCUGUGACAUCCCCCAUCUGGACCUUAGCCUAGGCCAGGGCCCUGGCCCUCAACACAGCUGCCUUCCACUGAACCUCCAGUACCGUCGCCAGACCCCAAGCAACAAGGAAGGGCAGCUCUGCUCAAUACACAGCGCCACACCUCCGAGUUCUCCUUCAUAUGGAGUCCACCAGAUGAGAGUAUGGAGUGCAGCCUCCAAACUGCCCACCCGGAGCCCCCAGCACAACCAGAGGCUAAUAUGCUGCCGCCGCCAGAGACAUGCCUUUCAUUUCUCAAAUAUCCCUCCCUCCAGCAAGAUCCCCAAGGGGGUGACCAGAACCCCUUCGGAAUGUUUCCCCAGCUCCAGGCCAUCUUCCCGCCGUCCACCCAAAGCAGAAGGAACAGCCUCUCCCUCUUCCUCUUCCCAUCUGGUUGGGACUUCCUCCCAAAAAAAGGAGAAACUGAAGGGAUGUAGGAAAUCCUUUUCUCUCUGGACAAUGCCUCACUUCCUUCCUGAUUUCCAUCUGUGGGUUGAAACACAGUCUAAUUUGAUCAGAGCUGAGCAAUGGCUUCCAUAGUAAGCAAGACCUGCUGCUCCCGGGUACACUGGGAACACCGUGUCCCACUGAAAACCCACCUGAAAAUACUGCCCCCAAACCAUCCCUGCUCCAUGGGGAAUGAAGGCAUCUCUUUCGUUAGCCCCCAGAAUUCGCAAAAGGGCCAUCCUCUUGGUGACUUAGAAAUGGAGCACGCUUCUUAUGGGGGCCUUCAAAUGGGGCCUCAAAUGUAUCAGCACUCCACAGGUAAUUAGCACCCACUGGGUGCCGGGCACUUGUGGGGGACUGGGGAGAUGGCUGGUCAAGAGUUUGCUCUCAGGGGCACCCAGGUGGCUCAUUCACUUAAACAUCUGAUUCUUGAUUUCGGCUCAGGUCAUGAUCUCACGGUCAUGGGAUCAACCCCCUGUUGGGCUUCCCGCUCAGCAGUGAGUCUGCUGGGAUCAUCUCUCUCCCUCUCCCUCUGCCCCCCCCCCACCUAUGUGCACAAGUGUGCAUGCUCUCUCAAAUAAAUAAAUAAAUCUUUUUUUUAAUAAAUAAAUC